GUCAAAUAGAUUAGCUAUUUUUUUAAAUUUAAUUAACUAAGCACAAAAUUUAGCCGCUUUAAACUUUGGGACUAAUAAUGAUGGGCAGAAAAUGUUUAAAAUAAGCUGGUAGUGGAGUUUGAACAAGUGAAUCCCAAAAUAAGUACGAUUAGAAGGUAUCCUCAAAGAAAGAAGUCCAAUGGUAUUAAUUCAGGUGAUCGUGCCGGCCAGUCUAUUGGCCCUCUCCUCAUUCGACCAGGAAAAAUAAUAUAAAGGGUAUCUGGAAAAGGGAGGCUAAUCUGGCGGCCAUACAUAUAAGGUGGACCAAAAUAAAGCGACUUUCGUUAUGCCAUUUUUUAAUUGGGCGCUCGAUAUUCAAUAUACAGGGCGUUAAAAUGAGAAAUAUAAAUUCGUUUUUUUUUUAGCUUAUAAAACCAUAAUGGCUCAUAGACUAAGAAAUAUAUCCUUUUCGGAAAUGGCGGAUACGGUUUUGAUGUUUGGUACCCCCAUAGAAAAUAGUCGCAGAGAUUUAGGUCUGGUGACCUGGCCGGCCACUCUAUUGGCUCUCUUUGUCCUAUCCAUCUUUCUGGGAACACUGUAUCUUACAGUGACAUUCGAAAAUGGAGAUUCUUUACAAGUGCAACCAUGGAAAUAGAAACAAUUGGCAGUAUUUAUAACAUUAUUUUUAUCCUCGAUUUUACCUUAAUUUGUAAAUAGACGUACUUUGUUUUAUA